GGAAUAUAUGUAAAUAAAGGAAAUCAGAUAUAGUGAAGUUUGUUAUAAAAAUACAAAAUCACAUUUAUUGGUCGCAGUUACACAUAGGAAUAUUAAGAAGAGCGUGUCUCCAUAUAACAUGGAACUCCUGUACAACGUUGUAAAAGAAUCCAGGAGAAAAUCCAGGAACAGGUUUAUGGAACCGCCAAAUACAGGUAAACAAUAAAAUACAAAAUAAAAGAACAUAAAUUAAAAGUCCAUAAGGAGAAGAAAAUCCAACUCGUUUCUUCCA